rnacentral:lncRNA from 1 species
GGGAAAAAAAAAAAAAAAAAGGGUACAUAAGUGGUGCUAUUAAUAGAUAAUUUGUGGCAGGUAAGUCAUGAUAACCUUUCUCUGUAUUGUUGUAAGGUUGCAGGCAAGCCUAGGCGUGCCUUGCUGAGAGCUGAGAGGGAAUGCUUAAUUUGUGGGAGUACAUAAAUUUCCAAGUAAAUUUGUGGCGUGAGAGCAUUCAUUCAAAUGACAGCUAAAAUUCCAAAAUCAUAACAAAAAGACCUGAACUGCAUGAUGAAAUAAUGCAAAGAGAGCCUAAACACAAAGAAAGGGGAAAGAAAUGGCCAAAGCAAACUGCAACACCUUGCUCUACUCCUGUAUCUUGGCUUUUCAGGAGUGCCCCAGAGUUAAAGCUCUACCUGUGCUAAACAGAGCUUUCCUGUUCUCAGGAAGUUAACAAUUACAAGCAGAGGGCAGACGAAAUGGGCUGCCAACUGAGCACAGCGCUGAUAAGGUGGCACUGCUGCUCCCUGAGGAGGAAAGGGUAGCUGCUGAACUUGGGAAGCACCCAGAGGCUGGGACUCCACAUGGAGUGGCUGCUCCCAGCAUGGAAGACAUUUUCUGGACCUGGUACACAGAUGUUUGCUCAUGGAGGAACGAUGGAAAAAUCUAGACUAUGCUGGCAACACUUACUUUGGAAAAGAGUACAAGCAGAUCCAGAGGGGCUAUGCAGAGGCUGUGAAAACUUUCCAUUCCCAGUAAAGAACCUGCAUCUGAGCACAUGGGGCUAUUAGGAAUAUGUUUAGACCCAUCCCUAAGCAACGUGUCGAAACCACCUCCCCAGGAAAUACUGGUACAGCACUGAUCUCCUCCGACAGGAGCUACAUCCCCUUCUCUGGAGCAGACUACCUGCUGCUAAAAAACAGGUGGGAGGGGAAAAAUAAUUGCUGUGAGCUGUGGCAGAUCUUUAUCACAGUAAAACAGCAGAGACCUGAAGUGUGAAUCGAGAGCGCUCUUUCAACAGUGGCCUGAACUCUGCACACAUGAGGACACCUCUCCAGCUGUGGGUUUGACUGGGUCUCUGGGCUCUUGGAAAUCCUACCUGGACAUGCCACCAGUGCAAGAUGUACAGUCCUGCCAUUACCUACUCAUCCCUUUGGUCCAUAAUUUAGUAUCUUGUGCUGAGCUUUCAGAGCAAAAUGCCAUCUAUUGGAGAAUGAGUCCUCAGCACUUGACAAAGUACUCCUCUGGAUAAUAAAAGAGAUGGUAAGGAAACUGUGAAAUAUUGCUGCUAGCUGAUCCCAGAGUGGUUUGGCUUGUGGUUUCAAUGGAUAGGAGUUUUAGUCAUCACUAUUCCCUUAGUGGGAGCCAACCUUGCAAAAUACACAAGAUAUGUAAGAAAACUUGCUCAUGAUUCACAGAGAAAGCAAAUGUUGAUGGGAAAGAACAUUUGCAAGCUGUUUCUGUAGAGCUAACAAUGAAUGGGCAACCCUGAUACAAAAUCAUAUGUCAGGCUAGAAAACACCCAACAGAAAUAGGGUUUUUUUUUAGAAAAAGCAACAUAUCC